GAUGAAGAACGUAGCGAAAUGCGAUAAGUAGUGUGAAUUGCAGAAUUCAGUGAUCAUCGAAUCUUUGAACGCACAUUGCGCCCCUUGGUAUUCCAUGGGGCAUGCCUGUUCGAGCGUCAUUUGUACCUUCAAGCUUUGCUUGGUGUUGGGUGUUUGUCCAUUCUCUUGCAGAGGGACUCGCCUUAAAGUAAUUGGCAGCCAGUGUUUUGGUUUUGAAGCGCAGCACAAGUCGCGAUUCAAAGCUAUACGCCCGCUUCCACAAGCCUUUUUCACUUUUGACCUCGGAUCAGGUAGGGAUACCCGCUGAACUUAAGCAUAUCAAUAAGCGGAGGA
rnacentral:misc_RNA from 1 species